GUUCCCUUUCAGGCCGUCCGAGCCCAACGCUUAGUGUGUUUUCUGGAGGCUUGCAGCGGCCAACACUAGCCCUCGAACUGCGGGCACCAUAUCGCAGUGGCCAACGCUAGCCCUCGAACUGCGGGCACCAUAUUGGAAUUACCUCUUCAAGUGUUACUAGCCCAACCCACGUUGGUUAAGUCUUCAAGUUGUUUUGAGCAAGAGAGUUCAACUGAAGGGUUAUGUUUAUGUCUCUUACACCUUUUUCUUGGACUGUAAGUUGCAAGUUCUUCUAAGGAAAUAUUAAUUCUGUGUUAGGGGAAGUAUUCAUUGGAUCUAUUAGGAGAUAUUUUGCUCUUCUAGCUUAUAAACCAAG
rnacentral:lncRNA from 1 species